GCGGCAAGCUAUACAUGCAGUCGAGCGGACAGAUGGGAGCUUGCUCCCUGAUGUUAGCGGCGGACGGGUGAGUAACACGUGGGUAACCUGCCUGUAAGACUGGGAUAACUCCGGGAAACCGGGGCUAAUACCGGAUGCUUGUUUGAACCGCAUGGUUCAAACAUAAAAGGUGGCUUCGGCUACCACUUACAGAUGGACCCGCGGCGCAUUAGCUAGUUGGUGAGGUAACGGCUCACCAAGGCAACGAUGCGUAGCCGACCUGAGAGGGUGAUCGGCCACACUGGGACUGAGACACGGCCCAGACUCCUACGGGAGGCAGCAGUAGGGAAUCUUCCGCAAUGGACGAAAGUCUGACGGAGCAACGCCGCGUGAGUGAUGAAGGUUUUCGGAUCGUAAAGCUCUGUUGUUAGGGAAGAACAAGUACCGUUCAAAUAGGGCGGUACCUUGACGGUACCUAACCAGAAAGCCACGGCUAACUACGUGCCAGCAGCCGCGGUAAUACGUAGGUGGCAAGCGUUGUCCGGAAUUAUUGGGCGUAAAGGGCUCGCAGGCGGUUCCUUAAGUCUGAUGUGAAAGCCCCCGGCUCAACCGGGGAGGGUCAUUGGAAACUGGGGAACUUGAGUGCAGAAGAGGAGAGUGGAAUUCCACGUGUAGCGGUGAAAUGCGUAGAGAUGUGGAGGAACACCAGUGGCGAAGGCGACUCUCUGGUCUGUAACUGACGCUGAGGAGCGAAAGCGUGGGGAGCGAACAGGAUUAGAUACCCUGGUAGUCCACGCCGUAAACGAUGAGUGCUAAGUGUUAGGGGGUUUCCGCCCCUUAGUGCUGCAGCUAACGCAUUAAGCACUCCGCCUGGGGAGUACGGUCGCAAGACUGAAACUCAAAGGAAUUGACGGGGGCCCGCACAAGCGGUGGAGCAUGUGGUUUAAUUCGAAGCAACGCGAAGAACCUUACCAGGUCUUGACAUCCUCUGACAAUCCUAGAGAUAGGACGUCCCCUUCGGGGGCAGAGUGACAGGUGGUGCAUGGUUGUCGUCAGCUCGUGUCGUGAGAUGUUGGGUUAAGUCCCGCAACGAGCGCAACCCUUGAUCUUAAUUGCCAGCAUUCAGUUGGGCACUCUAAAGUGACUGCCGGUGACAAACCGGAAGGAAGGUGGGGAUGACGUCAAAUCAUCAUGCCCCUUAUGACCUGGGCUACCCACGUGGCUACAAUGGGAAAGAAACAAAGGGGCAGCGAAACCCCCGAAGGUAAAGCCAAUCCCACAAAAUCUGGUUU
rnacentral:rRNA from 1 species